rnacentral:rRNA from 1 species
GACGAACGCUGGCGGCGUGCUUAACACAUGCAAGUCGAACGGUGAAGCGCCUUCCUUUUUGGUGGGUGUGGAUGAGUGGCGAACGGGUGAGUAACACGUGAGUAACCUGCCCCCUUCUUCUGGAUAACCGCAUGAAAGUGUGGCUAAUACGGGAUAUUCUGGGUCUGUCGCAUGAUGGGACUGGGAAAGAUAUUGUUUCGGUGGGGGAUGGGCUCGCGGCCUAUCAGCUUGUUGGUGGGGUGAUGACCUACCAAGGCGGUGACGGGUAGCCGGCCUGAGAGGGUGGACGGUCACACUGGGACUGAGACACGGCCCAGACUCCUACGGGAGGCAGCAGUGGGGAAUAUUGCACAAUGGGCGCAAGCCUGAUGCAGCGACGCCGCGUGAGGGAUGGAGGCCUUCGGGUUGUGAACCUCUUUCGCCAGUGAAGCAGGCCUGCCUCGUUUGUGGGUGGGUUGACGGUAGCUGGAUAAGAAGCGCCGGCUAACUACGUG